rnacentral:rRNA from 1 species
UACGAAGGGGGCUAGCGUUGUUCGGAUUUACUGGGCGUAAAGCGCACGUAGGCGGAUCUUUAAGUCAGGGGUGAAAUCCCGAGGCUCAACCUCGGAACUGCCUUUGAUACUGGGGAUCUCGAGUCCGGGAGAGGUGAGUGGAACUGCGAGUGUAGAGGUGAAAUUCGUAGAUAUUCGCAAGAACACCAGUGGCGGAGGCGGCUCACUGGCCCGGUACUGACGCUGAGGUGCGAAAGCGUGGGGAGCAAACAGG